AGCUUCAGGCCGGGGCCCCAGACUCCCACUUUACUCCGUCAUUUGUUUCCAAUGUUCUGAUUGAAACAAAUGUGGGGAUGGAACUGUCACUCUGGCUACAGAGCCCCUGCAGGCUGGGCCAGCGCCAAGAGCCCAAGGAGGCGGGGCCUUCGCAGGAAACAUCGCCCCCUAGUGGCCACAGGUGAGCAUGACACCCCAGGAGAGCGGGACCCAGAGAAGGCGACACAGACAGGGGACUGAGACCGUCCUCCAGGAGGGAACCUGCAGACAGGCGGGGAGGCGGAGCCCCACGGGGACCGACAGCCCGGGCUCCGUCCGGCCUUCCCCUGGCAGGGAGCUCCCUUACUGAUUACCGUCGGCUCCGGCUGUUGCUGUGAGCAGUGUCUGGGAUGGGUCCGCUUCUCCCCGUAAUUCUGUUUUUAUUUUAUGUGUUUUGAGACUAUGUUGCCAGGUGUAUUAAUCUCCAGGAUUGUCACAGCUUAUUGUUAAACUGUUAGUGAACCUCCUUCUCUAGGGGCUGCUGCUGGACGUGUAACGUGGGCUCUCCAGGUGGGCAGAGUUGGCUGAUUACUGUGGUGUAAAUGCUCCCUCGGGGGCCGAUUUCAAGGUACCAACAAGGAUGUCACCGAACACGGAUGUGGGAAGAGGCCCCCCCGUCAGCUCCUGUGAGCUGGCACCAGCCGGCCCCAACGAGGGUCCCAGUGCACCGCUAUCUUCACGUGUAGGGACACUUUCUGCCUCCAUUGCAUCCCGUCUGGUACCGCAGGGUUACACUCGCUUCCUUUGGCGUCUGCCUGGCGCACCUUUUCCCGUCACUUGCCUUCACUCUUCCUGUGACGUGAUGUCUCACGUUUGUCCAGAACAUUCCUAUUUGAAUGUGACGAAAUCUGUGUUCCCCACGGUUGGCGAUGACAGCGUCUCGCUGGAGCUGCAGGGCAGAGCGUGGGGCCUGGCAAACCAAGGCUCUCACCUGGCCAGGUGCGACCCGACCCCGGGAGCACAGCGAUCUGUCCCUUUUCUGCUGAACGUACUGGACUCACUAACGAGGGAGGAAAGACAAAUGCACCCUCGUGGGUGUGUUGGUGAGAAAUCGGUUUAGAGGUGAUGUCAGCAAGAGGUUUUUGUCUCCUAAGAAAUAAAAUUAAUUGGACCAGUGCAGGGAACUACAUCAAUAGCUUGUAAUAACCUGUAAUGAAAAGAAUACGACAAAGGAUAUAGACAGAUACACACACACACACACACACACACAUCUGAAUCACCCCUGUGCGUCAGAAACGAACACAACAUUGUGAAUUCUAAGUUGGACCAAAAAGUCCUCAGGGCAGUGGAAGUAGAAACCUGUUCUCUCCCUGUGUGGGUGUUUUUUCCCGCAUAUGAACCGAAAUCUAAUGACUAAGGUAUAGCCUGCUUGUGUGAAUGGACUGAGGGUCAUUGAGAAGCCUUGUUCUUCAUGUGAAUCAGGUUAACCAUCACCAGGACACACCUGUGGGGGACUAACCGCCUCUCUCCGCCAAGCCGACCCCUCAUGGCCAUGCAGUUUUUGAGGCAAAGGCUGCUACUCCCCUCCUCCGCCAUCCACCCGUCUCCCCUUCUUCCUUCUUCCUUCUUCCAUGGUGAUUGGAACCUGAAUGAAGACUACAUUUCCCAGCCUCCUUUGCAGCCAGGCGAGGCCAUAUGACCAAGUUAUGGCCAAAGGGAGAUGGAAUCAAGGCUUGUCCCAGCCUGGAGGGAUGACGACAUGUGAGAAGCGAGCCCGCCGCCAGCCCUUUGCUGUCACACACGGCGGCGGCAAGGGCGCCGGCUUCGGUUCAAGUUCAGCCUCAGCAUGACCCUACAAGUUUUGCUGUGGAGUAUUUUUAUCAAAUUUAAAUUUAAAAAAUGAAUUCGAGGUGCUUUAUAAUUCCAUUAUAAUCUAUUUUUUGAUUAUUAAUUAUUUAGAUGUUUCUUAAUUUGCAAACAUACGGAAAUUUCCUGUAAAUUUUUAAUUUUGGACUUCUGACGUCACUCAUUUUGCUUUGAAAACUGUCCCACGUGAGUUAACACAGCUGUGUCAGUUUCCUUUUGGAAUAUCAUUUUUCAACCUUUUACUCUCAACUUUUUAUGCUUUAUAGUUUAGAGGUAUCUUUUGUAGAACACACACACACACACACACACACGGAGAGACUGAUUUUAAGCAUCUAGUCUGACGCUCUUCCUGUCAGUUACUUCACACUUUUAGUUGCUGUAUUCGGCCCACUUACCUUAUUGAAAAUCCUGGUGUGUUUACCUCCACCACAUUGUUUGUGUUAUACAUUUGUUCUGUCCCGUCCGUUUCUUUUUUCUUUUCGUUCCUCCUUCCAUAUUCCGAUGCAACUUUUCCCUCUGCAAGUUUAUACGUUGUAUUGCUUUUCUGAUCUUCUAGUGUUACCCUAGGAAUUUUAGCAGGCACACUUCGGUUACUGUGGCGAAACCCCCCAAGGUGACCCCCGUGAGUCACACCCUCCUCUCGAGUGCAGGUGGGAGCUGUGACAACGGCGAUGGGUCUACUCCCCUGAUCGUGCUUCAGCAGACUGAAGGGAGAGAGUCUCUUGAGCAGCCACACUGCGAGGCAGCCACGUGUCAAGGAACUGCGGGCGGGUGCGCGCCGAGAGCCAUCCCCGGCUGACCGCUGGCAGGAAGCCGGCCCUCAGUCACACGACUGCCAGGAAGUGAACGCUGCCAACAGCCUAGGUGAGCGUGGAAGUGAGCUCAUCCCCGGCUAAAUCUCCGGACGAGAGCGCAGCCCGGCUCACACCUGGGCUGCGACCUUGGGAGACCCUGAGCGGAGGGGCCAGCUGAGCUGACCCAGAGAAACUGCGAGAUAAUAGAUGUGUAUUGUUUAAACAUGCAGUGAUUUGUUACCAGCGACAGAAAACAAAUAGUUACCCAAACUAGGAAGUACUAGGUGUUCUCUGGGCCUCACUGCUGCUGUAAAAUCAUUACAAAGUUGUUUUAUUAAAACGAACCUUUCUGUUCUCCA